GACGAACGCUGGCGGCGUGCCUAAUACAUGCAAGUCGAACGCAGUGGGGACGGGUGAGUAACACGUGGGUAACCUCCCAUCAGAGGUGAUAACACUUGGAAACAGGUGCUAAACCGAUACUGAUGGAUGAACCCGCUGUGCAUUAGCUAGUUGGUAAGGUACAGGCUAACCAAGGCCACGAUGCAUAGCCGACCGAAGAGGGUGCUUGUGCAUACGGGAACGGAUACAGCUCCCAGACUUCGACGUGAGGAAGCAGUAGGGAAUCGUCGGCAAUGGACGAAAGUGUGAACGCGCAACGCCGCGUGCGUGAAGAAGGUUUUCGGCUCGUAAAACUCGGUUGUUAGAUAAGCGGGAUCUAACCAGAAAGCCACGGCUAACUACGUGCCAGCAGCCGCGGUAACUC
rnacentral:rRNA from 1 species